rnacentral:lncRNA from 1 species
AAAUAGUAAGCACUUAAUAAAUGACACCUAUUACAAUGGCAUCUUUAAUUCCCAUAGAAAACAUUUUAUUACUUUAAUCUUUCUAAGGCUGUAGCUGCUUGCAAAGGUUGUUAAGUUUCCUGUGCUACAUGAAUCACCAAUAUCUGAGUAGUUCAUGUGCUCUCAUGUAUUGUAUAAUGGACAAUGGCAUCCCAGUUGCAGCACAAUAAGAAUGUAUAUCACAUCCAGUUUAAAUUGAGUGUUCCAAGUAUGUUAAGAUAUGGAAUGGGAGUUGUCAAUUAAAUGGAGCUAUCACUCCAUUAUCAACCAAGAUUCCAAUGCAUAUGCUAACGUCAAUGAGUUAGAGAUUCCAGAGUGAGACAGUUAAUAGACCUGUGAGUUUCUCCCUGCUCUCCUAUAAUUGAGCUUUGAGGCCUUAUGCUGAACAGAAGUUAUCUAGGUGGAAUGGAAUAAAUCCCCAGGGUUUCUAACCAAGCCCAAGUCUAACCCAGCUGCAGGAAAGCUCAUUUAACUUGCAGACCUUUGCAUCAGCUUCUCACAAGCUCCUCCUUCCUGAGGAUUGUGUUCUCAGCAUUCAUCUCUCACCCUCACCAUGGAACCGUACUCUGAUGAGCAUCUAAGAAACACAGAAACUCAGAAAUGAAACCAUGUGGCUCUGGCACUGCUGACAUAGAAUCACUGAUAUUUCAAAUAUCAGACUUCUCAAAAAGAAAAGUUUGCCUUUUGGAUAGAGCAUGGGAAAAUCUGAACUAAACAAACAGGGUACAAUGAGGAGUCAGGAGUCUGCAACAUGGAAGAGAGCUCUCACCAGAAUCCGAUCAUGCUGGCACCCUAAUUUCAAAUUUCCAGCCUCCAGAACUGCUCCAAGAAAUGGAAUUUUAUUAAAAGAUGGAAGAGGAGGAUAUUUGAGAGAAGGGGAACUACCUAAUACUGAAAACUAAUACAGUCCAGGAUACAUAGAAGAUGAUCAAUAACACUUAUUCAAUCUAAAUUACCCUAUCAGCAAGUGGAGAAUUCUCUCUCGGGAGUGCUGUUUUCUUUCCUGCCAGUCAGCUCUGUCAGGUUGAAUAGAAAGCGAUAAAUAAAGAGGAAAAGAAUUCAUUUUGUGCCCUUGCUGCACUGUUGCUUUUUCCUGCUGCACCACCAGUAAUAGAAAACUAGGCUGUGAGCAUUUCAGUGCUAAUGCACUCCAGUGGCUUUUCUGCCUUGGCCUUCUAGCUUUCUCCUCAUUGCAUCACACUACUGAUUGGAGAAAAAUAUGCCAGUCUGUGCUGUGUUUCCCCAAACAACUUUUUUAUUUUGCAGGGUAGAAAGAACUGAUGAUAAUGGGCUCUAUAAAAAAGGGAUAAACAAAGGCAUUUUCAUCAAGGGCCUUCUUUCUAAAAGGCUUUCCAAAUAGCCUAUUUUAAAAAAUGAACAAACACCCAUAAACCCAUAGAACAAUAGUACACUAGACAUACAUUUAAAGAGCAUGUCUCCAUUAAAAACAGCUAUGUCAGAAACAGGCACCUGAGUUUCUGGGGAAAUAUACAUGAUAGAAAAAUCUUAAACCUGGCCAAGUUCUCCAAGUUGAUCUUCUUUGUUCUUGUAGGAUUUGAUGACAUUCAACCAUGUUCAUCUACUUUUCCAUCUUGUUCUACAGGUGGACUAUCUAUUUAUAUAUUUUUAAAAGACAGCCAGGAAAAAUUGAUUGAUUAAGAAAGGUUUUCUUAACCUUUAUUUGUGGUAAGAACAUUUAAGAUCUCUCUUAGAAAAUUUCAAGUAAAAACACAGUAUUGUUAACUCCAGUCACCAUAUUGUAUAUUAAAUUUAGAUCCCUAGAACUUACUCGUAUAUUAGAUUUAGAUCCCCAGAAUGUACUCAUCUUAUAACUGAAAGUUUAUACACUUUGACCAAUAUCUCCUUAUUUCCCCCACUCCCUUACCCCUGGCAAACACCAUGCUACUUUCUAUUUCUAUGUGUUUACCUUUUUUAGGUUCCCUAUAUAAGUGAUACCAUAUAGUGUUUGUUUUUCUGAUUUUUUUUAAAUGAAAGAGCUAGGGCCAACUUCCAUUCUUUGAUGUAAAGAUUAAAAACGGUGGAUAUAUUGUGGUAUGACCUAAGGCAUAGGCAGGGCUGCAAGCUAGAGGUGCCCAUGUGAUCAAGGACAAUGGUGCACAGGUCACUAGUCAUCACUAUUUCCUGUCAUCGGUGGGACUGCAAACUAGCACAUUUUUAGUGACAUUACUCAUAAGCACACUGUGGUUGUUUAAAUUGGUAGGGAUGAUAAUGAGAGUAAUUUGUGGGUAAUUAAGUCUCUCCUUUCCACCUGACAGUUAUGCAAACUAGAAGGAGAUGAACAGCAUAGUUAUGUGUUUCUUCAACUAAGAAACAUUUCAUAAGAAUUUUGAGUAAUGUGGGUAGGUGAUUAAAAUGUUAAAGUGGAAAAAGUUAGAAACUGUUAUGUUUUUAAAAAAGUUUUAUUGAGGUGUUAUUUACAUACCAUAAAGUUCACCCAUUUUAAGCAUACAAUUCAGUGAAUUUUAGUAUAUUUACAGAGUUGUACAAUCAUCACAAUCUAGUUUUAGAACAUUUCCAUUAUUCAAAAAAAAGUCAUUUGUGUCCAUUUACAGUUACUCCCGAUUUCCACCUCCAGUCCUAGGCAGCCACUAAUCUACUUUCUGUCUCUAUAUACGGUUUUUAUCUUUCCGGGACAUUUCAUUUAAAUAAAAUCAUACAGUGGG